rnacentral:lncRNA from 1 species
ACACCAGGUCGCAGACUCAGAAAGGAAAGUUUUUCAUGAAAACAACUUCUGAUGGCGGGAAGAGUAAGGGGGAAACGAGCGCCGUACCCGCCAGAGAAGUGGAACGGCGAAUUCGGCGGGGUCGUGGAGGUGACGGACGCGCUGCUGAGAGGGUGUCAGAGUUUCAAGGACGAGACGGCAAACUAACUGAGAAUUCGCUCUUCCCACCAAACAAUGUGCCCGUCUCUGCUCUACCAUCGAUGGAUCUAAGUCGCCCGCUGCACGGUUCAACUUACCCCACCAGCCUAGUGGACGAGGAUUACGUUCGAAGCGGCUCUCCUACAUUGUAUUCCGUAGUUGACAGUGAACCCACUGAAUCUACCUCCUUUGUUUCCCCUGUCGUUGGGAACCGAUGCAGCUGAAACGCAGCCGGAUACCAAUCGUUGCUUGCUCCGUACUGCU